CUGUCACAUAGGCGGCUAUGAAAUUCAUAAACAGUUUUGUGAAGGUGAAAAUUGGCAGAUUAGUUUUCUGGUUGUAAUACAGAACCAUGAGAUCUGGGCUAAAAAACCAUCUCCUGGAUGAAUCAUUCUCACAGUGAAAGGAGGCUUCACGAAGAUGGUUUGUCUCUUCCCAGCAACUUUUUAGUAAAAAGCUUAACUGUUGACUACUGUGAUAUCAAUUGCAAGGUCAGCUGAAUUUGAC
rnacentral:lncRNA from 1 species